CCAUGAAGGCUCUUGUUGUGUCAGUCGUGCUUUGCGCAUUCAUUUGUUUCGUACAAUCAGGACCAGCGAGACGACGUGAUGCCCACGUAGACGUUGAUCAAGGCAAUGAGGAUGAUACCUGGCCUCACCCAGACACAAUAAAUAACUUCCCAGUUCCCGAUGCAUUUGUCAACGCAGUAGCAGAAGUGACUGAAGAUAAUGAGGAAGUAACUGCGCAAGCAUCUCGAAGCAGGCCCCGGCAUCACCGAUCCCACAGACAUUAAGAAUAACACUUACUAAAAGAGUAAACAGUGCCCCUAUACAAUAAAUAUUUCAAUGUAA